CCUGAACACUUACCUAAACGAG
rnacentral:miRNA from 1 species